GACGAACGCUGGCGGCGUGCUUAACACAUGCAAGUCGAACGGAAAGGCCCUGCUUUUGUGGGGUGCUCGGGUGGCGAACGGGUGAGUAACACGUGAGUAACCUGCCCUUGACUUUGGGAUAACUUCAGGAAACUGGGGCUAAUACCGGAUAGGAGCUCCUGCUGCAUGGUGGGGGUUGGAAAGUUUCGGCGGUUGGGGAUGGACUCGCGGCUUAUCAGCUUGUUGGUGGGGUAGUGGCUUACCAAGGCUUUGACGGGUAGCCGGCCUGAGAGGGUGACCGGCCACAUUGGGACUGAGAUACGGCCCAGACUCCUACGUGAGGCAGCAGUGGGGAAUAUUGCACAAUGGGCGGAAGCCUGAUGCAGCAACGCCGCGUGCGGGAUGACGGCCUUCGGGUUGUAAACCGCUUUCGCCUGUGACGAAGCGUGAGUGACGGUAAUGGGUAAAGAAGCACCGGCUAACUACGUG
rnacentral:rRNA from 1 species